rnacentral:rRNA from 1 species
UACGGGGGGGGUAAGCGUUGUUCGGAAUUACUGGGCGUAAAGGGCUCGUAGGCGGCCAACUAAGUCAUACGUGAAAUCCCUCAGCUUAACUGGGGAACUGCGUGUGAUACUGGAUGGCUUGGAUUCGGGAGAGGGAUGCGGAAUUCCAGGUGUAGCGGUGAAAUGCGUAGAUAUCUGAAGGAACAUCAGUGGCGAAAGCGACUUCCUGGACCAAUACUGACGCUCAUGUGCGAAAGCGUGGGGAGCAAACAGG